CUGGAGGUCAGUGGGAUGAAGAAACUUUAAAGACUCUGACUGAGUUUGUUCCACAGUUGAGCGUGUCUGGAAUCAUCCAAUUAGACGGCUGCUGCUCAUCUGUGGACGGUGUGGUGGUCCUGACGGCGCUGCUGUCCGACUGUCCCUCUGUGGCAGAACUCACCAUCAGGCUGCAGAGUCCGGUUCUGGUGUCGGUUCUGUUUCCUGCAGGCAGACAGAAAACUGCACCUGAAACGUCUAAAAAACUCUGGUUUGUUUUGAUUUAUUUUCA